GCCCUGGCCACGCUCUCUUGGCGGCUAUCUUCGCUGUGAACCUGCACGCGUGCACAUCUCAGGAGCCUUGGGGCAAAGCUUGCAGUUAUUUAUAUGGAACUGAUGGACAGCCUGGAGAUCUGAGGAGGCAUAGGACAAGUGGUAUGAGACAUCAAGAGGAAAUGACGUGCAAAACA